CGGGACGGGUGAGUAAUGUAUGGGGAUCUGCCUGAUGGCGGGGGAUAACUACUGGAAACGGUAGCUAAUACCGCAUAAUGUCUGCGGACCAAAGCGGGGGACCUCCGGGCCGUCGCGCCAUCAGAUGAACCCAUAUGGGAUUAGCUUGUAGGUAAGGUAACGGCUUACCUAGGCGACGAUCCCUAGCUGGUCUGAGAGGAUGACCAGCCACACUGGAACUGAGACACGGUCCAG
rnacentral:rRNA from 1 species